rnacentral:rRNA from 1 species
GAUUGAACGCUGGCGGUAUGCUUAACACAUGCAAGUCGAACGGAAACGAUACUAGCUUGCUAGUAGGCGUCGAGUGGCGGACGGGUGAGUAACGCGUAGGAAUCUGCCUGAUAGUGGGGGAUAGCCCGAAGAAAUUCGGAUUAAUACCGCAUAAUCUAUUCGUAGUAAAGUGGGGGACUUUCGAGCCUCACGCUAUCAGAUGAGCCUGCGUAAGAUUAGCUUGUUGGUAGGGUAAAAGCCUACCAAGGCGACGAUCUUUAGCUGGUCUGAGAGGAUGAUCAGCCACAUCGGGACUGAGACACGGCCCGAACUCCUACGGGAGGCAGCAGUGGGGAAUAUUGGACAAUGGGGGCAACCCUGAUCCAGCAAUACCGCGUGUGUGAAGAAGGCCUGAGGGUUGUAAAGCACUUUCAAUUGUGAAGAAAAGUUAACGGUUAAUAACCGUUAGCCUUGACGUUAACUUUAGAAGAAGCACCGGCUAACUCCGUGCCAGCAGCCGCGGUAAUACGGAGGGUGCAAGCGUUAAUCGGAAUUACUGGGCGUAAAGCGUGCGUAGGCGGUUUAUUAAGUCAGAUGUGAAAGCCCCGGGCUUAACCUGGGAACUGCAUUUGAAACUGGUCAACUAGAGUAUGGUAGAGGAAAGUGGAAUUUCUGGUGUAGCGGUGAAAUGCGUAGAUAUCAGAAGGAACAUCAAUGGCGAAGGCAGCUUUCUGGACCAAUACUGACGCUGAGGUACGAAAGCGUGGGUAGCAAACAGGAUUAGAUACCCUGGUAGUCCACGCCGUAAACGAUGAUAACUAGCCGUUGGGGGGAUUUACCCUUUAGUGGCGAAGCUAACGCGUUAAGUUAUCCGCCUGGGGAGUACGGCCGCAAGGUUAAAACUCAAAGGAAUUGACGGGGACCCGCACAAGCGGUGGAGCAUGUGGUUUAAUUCGAUGCAACGCGAAGAACCUUACCUGGUCUUGACAUCCUGCGAACUUUCUAGAAAUAGAUUGGUGCCUUCGGGAACGCAGUGACAGGUGCUGCAUGGCUGUCGUCAGCUCGUGUCGUGAGAUGUUGGGUUAAGUCCCGUAACGAGCGCAACCCCUAUCCUUAUUUGCCAGCACAUCAUGGUGGGAACUAUAAGGAGACUGCCGGUGAUAAACCGGAGGAAGGCGGGGACGACGUCAAGUCAUCAUGGCCCUUACGACCAGGGCUACACACGUGCUACAAUGGGAAGGACAAAGAGCCGCGAAGCCGCGAGGUGUAGCUAAUCUCAGAAAUCUUUUCGUAGUCCGGAUUGGAGUCUGCAACUCGACUCCAUGAAGUCGGAAUCGCUAGUAAUCGUAGAUCAGAAUGCUACGGUGAAUACGUUCCCGGGUCUUGUACUCACCGCCCGUCA